UGGGUCGGCAAGACGGUCGCGUCAGCCUGGUUCUUCGGAACCAGACUGCCGAGGAACGUCCGGGCUCCAUAGGGCAGGACGGUGGGUAACACCCACCCGGGGUAACCCGCGAGAAAGUGCAACAGAAAGCAGACCGCCUCCGGCGCUCCCUUCGGGAAGCAUCGGCGGUAAGGGUGAAACGGUGGUGUAAGAGACCACCAGCAGCCCGAGUGAUCGGGCUGGCUGGGUAAACCUCGUCCGGAGCAAGGUCAGACAGAAAGCGCUUAGGGCUGCCCGCCCAGCUUUCGGGUAGACCGCUAGAGGGCUGCGGCAACGUAGUCACGAGAUAGAUGGCCGUCCAGCGCGGGGCUUUGGCUCGGCGUGAACAGAACCCGGCGUAUCAGCCGGCCCAUUCG
rnacentral:RNase_P_RNA from 1 species